GACGAACGCUGGCGGCGUGCCUAAUACAUGCAAGUCGAGCGAAUCUGAGGGAGCUUGCUCCCAAAGAUUAGCGGCGGACGGGUGAGUAACACGUGGGUAACCUGCCUGUAAGAUUGGGAUAACUCCGGGAAACCGGAGCUAAUACCGGAUAACAAUUUGAACCGCAUGGUUCAAAUUUGAAAGACGGCUUUUGCUGUCACUUACAGAUGGACCCGCGGCGCAUUAGCUAGUUGGUGAGGUAACGGCUCACCAAGGCAACGAUGCGUAGCCGACCUGAGAGGGUGAUCGGCCACACUGGGACUGAGACACGGCCCAGACUCCUACGGGAGGCAGCAGUAGGGAAUCUUCCGCAAUGGACGAAAGUCUGACGGAGCAACGCCGCGUGAACGAUGAAGGCCUUCGGGUCGUAAAGUUCUGUUGUUAGGGAAGAACAAGUACUAGAGUAACUGCUAGUGGUUGACGGACCUAACC
rnacentral:rRNA from 1 species